CUGGCUCAGAUUGAACGCUGGCGGCAUGCCUUACACAUGCAAGUCGAACGGCAGCGCGGACUUCGGUCUGGCGGCGAGUGGCGAACGGGUGAGUAAUACAUCGGAACGUGCCCUGUUGUGGGGGAUAACUAGUCGAAAGAUUAGCUAAUACCGCAUACGACCUGAGGGUGAAAGUGGGGGACCGCAAGGCCUCACGCAGCAGGAGCGGCCGAUGUCUGAUUAGCUAGUUGGUGGGGUAAAGGCCUACCCAAGGCGACGAUCCAGUAGCUGGUCUGAGAGGACGAUCAGCCCACACUGGGACUGAGACACGGCCCAGACUCCUACGGGAGGCCAGCCAGUGGGGAAUUUUGGACAAUGGGGGCAACCCUGAUCCAGCAAUGCCGCGUGUGUGAAGAAGGCCUUCGGGUUUGUAGCACUUUUGUCCGGAAGAAAGCGCCCUGGAUAAUACCUGGGGUG
rnacentral:rRNA from 1 species